rnacentral:rRNA from 1 species
AGUCGAGCGAGGAACUUCGGUUCCUAGCGGCGAACGGGUGAGGAACACGUGGGCAACCUGCCCUCAAGCCUGGGAUAACUCCGGGAAACCGAAGCUAAAACCAGAUAAUCUUCUUUCUUCGCAUGNAAAAAGAAGUAAAAGAAACCCCUUGANGGAUGGGCCCCGCGGUGCAUUAGCUAGUUGGUGGGGUAACNGGCUUACCAAGGGGACGAUGCAUAGCCGACCUGAGAGGGUGACUGGCCACACUGGGACUGAAGACACGGCCCAGACUCCUACGGGAGGCAGCAGUAGGGAAUUUUCCGCAAUGGGCGAAAGCCUGACGGAGCAACGCCGCGUGAGUGAUGAAGGUUUUCGGAUCGUAAAACUCUUGUUAUUGAGGGAAGAACACGUACCGUUUCGAAUAGGGCGGUACCUUGACGGUACCUCAUCAGAAAGCCACGGCUAACUACGUGCCAGCAGCCGCGGUAAUACNUAGGUGGCAAGCGUUGUCCGGAAUUAUUGGGCGUAAAGCGCGCGCAGGCGGCCUCUUAAGUCUGAUGUGAAAUCUUGCGGCUCAACCGCAAGCGGCCAUUGGAAACUGGGGGGCUUGAGUACAGAAGAGGAGAGUGGAAUUCCACGUGCAGCGGUGAAAUGCGUAGAUAUGUGGAGGAACACCAGUGGCGAAGGCGACUCUCUGGUCUGUAACUGACGCUGAGGCGCGAAAGCGUGGGGAGCAAACAGGAUUAGAUACCCUGGUAGUCCACGCUGUAAACGAUGAGUGCUAAGUGUUAGAGGGUUUCCGCCCUUUAGUGCUGCAGCUAACGCAUUAAGC